GGGUCUUUAGCUCAGUUGGUAGAGCAGUUGACUUUUAAUCAUUUGGUCGGAGGUUCGAAUCCUGCACGACCCACCA
rnacentral:tRNA from 1 species